GGUAGCAGGCAGAGAAUUAACCUUUGCGUGCACAUAUUUGGCCCAGAUGAAAACCGGGCUGGACGGCAGCCCCCGGGGCCAGGGAUGCGGGAUCUCUUGGGAGAAACCGCGGCUCGCGUCCGAUGGACUCGCAUCUCCGCCUGACGAAGGUCAUUAAGUUAGGCAGCGCGACUGCCGACCGAGUGCCCAAGGCAUUGUGGGAGUCAUGAUUCCAAGAGGCCCGCGAUUUAAAAUUGAACUUGUCAGUUCCCGGUCACGGGAGCAUUGUGAGCGCCACAACUCAUUCAGCUGCAGUGAAAAGGCUGUUGCAUGUCGCUGUGCAGCCUCUUAUCGCCGAGGUCUGGUUUCCGCUGCCGCUGCUGCGCAGCCCCUCCCCCGCCAGCCCAGCCCCACCAGGAAGCCCGGGGCGGACUCGUCGAGCUCCCGGACGCACGCGGCGGCGAAAAAACGCUCUCCAACUUUCCGCCGCCCUCCCGCCCUCGCCCGGGCCGCGCUGGCGCCCCGCAACCGAACAAAGUCCGCAGGGGGCGGUCGUUGCCGCUCGCGGGUCGGCGCCGGGAGCACAAGGAAACCGGAGCCGGCGCUGGCGAGGUGCAUCCCCGCAGCCAGCCGGUGGUAUCUUCCAUCUUACACGUUCAACAUUGUAACAGCCGAGCUAUAGUGCGAACGGGACGCACCCCUACUACUUUCUGCUCCUUCCGACCAGCCGGGCGGACACAUAGGUUCGUUUUUUAAAGAGGCCGGCGGAUGAGGCUUUUUGCAAGGAAGCCGGCAAGGUUAGGUUGAAGGUGAGAAUCAGAGCGGCAGAAAACGGCAGGGAUCGGAUGGGGCUGCCGCCUUAAAAUGCACCACACCGUUUUGGAACCUGGAUGGCUCACAGGCGGGAAAAACAUCUGCAAGACUGCCAGUGUGUCUCUUCCUCAAGUAGCAGGGUGUCCACAGUUUUGCAGUUCUUUAGUAAAACUGACUGUCACGCAAGCACAAAAAACUCCCCCUGCAGCUUCCAGGCUAGCUUGUAAAUAAUAUUUGGAAUGUAAAAUCCCCUUUCUUCCCAACUCUGCAUUACAUGAUUUAUAGGAAGCAGAGACCCUUCUCUGAAAAUAAAAUACCAUUUUCUGAAAUACUGGAAUAUUCCAAGGCAACUAGGUCAUAUUAUUGUUGGAGCAACACAGACCACAGCCCCAAAUCAUAAUUCAUUGGGUGUUAUAAGAUGCAACUUGGCUUCACUUUGAAUGGAAAGAAUUCUGGACUAAAGUGAUGUGAUGAUGUUUUGGAGAUUUGGGGGCAGAAUUUCCUUUGAAUUUAAGGAAUUUUGAUAACUUGUUCAAUAAUGAUUCUAAUUUAAAACAUCGGUUCCAUGUUUUGGACAAAAUUUGGAAUGAAGUGGUGGAUAUGGUGCCAUGUUCCUCCUACAACUUUGUUGUGUUAAAGAGGGUGGCGCCGGCUUAAGAAGGAAAAGGGAAAACAUCGUGAAAGGUGCUAAAGUUCAGGAGUAAGAGGCAUUAAUAACAGACUUGAGUUCUGACCCUUGGCUAGAUCCACAAAACAGUUAAUAUUGUGCACUGCCGCCUUCCAUAACAAAUAAAUUAAUUAAUGGCCCUACUUCUCAGUGUUAAUCAUUGAAAAGUACCCAAGUGCACACACAGUUGAAGCAAACUAAAAAGGACACUGACGCUUUCUCAGAGAACAGGAAUGGGCGUUCUCUAUCUGCCAAUUAGUAGCUAUGAGGAAUGCCUUUUUCUUAAUUCAGCAUUCAUUUCAACAACUACAUCGAACGCCUGCUAUGCCAGAGAUACGAGAAUGGGUAACACAGCCCCUACCCUAGAGGAUAAUACUCCUGCUAGGGAGAAGACAAAUAAACCAAUUAACUCUGCCUCAGGGAUAAAUGCUAAAAUGGUGUUGGCAAGCCAAAGGGGGCCUGAGGAGGGUUAGGGAAGGCUUCCUGGAGGAGUUAUUUUCAACAGGUGCCUUGAAAAGUGUAUAGCAAUUAACAAGAUAAGAUGGAAAGGGAGUUGAGUCUGGUCAAGUGGGAGAAAAGAGCAUGGCAAAUACAACGGACCUGCCAACUUUCGUGUUAGAAGUGAGGGAAGGAUAAGUGUAGGGGAGUGGCAGGAGAUGAGCUAAAAGUAGGUCUGUUUUAAUCCAAGGAGCCUCAGCUUUAGUCUGAAAACCAUGAUGAACUGGAAGAGUUUACACAGCAAGGGGAUAGGUAGAGUUUGGACUUGUAUUUCAGAAAGAUCCUGUGGCAGCAGCUUGAGGGUGAAUGGGAGUGUGGGGUGGUGGCCCAUAGAAGAAGGGUGAAUGGGUGUGGACAGACUGGAAAAAUGACUCAUGCAGGGAAUGAGGAAGGGAGGAACCUUGGGAAGCUCCCAAAUCCCUGGCUUAGCCUACUGGAUUGUUUGCUACUUGCCUUUUAAUGUCUUCAAUUUGCCUUUCAUUCUCCAUGACAACGGACCCUGACUUCUGAGCUGGGCCACCUAUGCGUCUGCUAGCAGGUUGGUGCCCUAGCCGGCUUCCACGCACCUCUCAGAAUGUCCAAUGAACCGCUAAGGCCUAAUCCCCGUUGUAGGAAUUUAUUUUCAAUUGUUCUCAGACCCCUGUAGACUUCCAAGUUACAACUUUGGUGUUCUUUUUUCUUGUGGGUUAGAAAGUUUGCUGUUUGGAGCAACGUGGUGAAAAGCAGGACUUUGAACCUGUGUAUGGUGCAAGAGGGGAAAUUAUUUUUCCAGUUCAGCACUGGAGGAGGGGGGAAGUUCUGGGAACAAAAGAGAAAUUGAAACUGAGACAGAUUUUCUGCUCCACCGAACAGAUUACAAAGAAAUACAAGAAAGACCCUUGAAUGUUGGAAACAGUAAAAUAAACAUCCUCGUAAAUGACAAAGAAGAGAAAAAAAAUGUUAUUUUAUGUUAGAUAAAAGAAAAAGGGAUGCUUAAGAAAAACUCCUAUAAAAUAAUGGUCAAUCUAGGAUUCAAAAAUGAAUCAAAAUGAAUUGUGAUAUAAAACUAGUUUGCCACGGAUUUAGCUUAAUUUAUUAUUAUUGAUAAUACUAUAACAUGAGUAAUGACGCUGAAAAUUUUGAAGCAUUGUAACAAACACCAGAUCAUAUGUUAAAAAUAUUAAACCAGAUUGCCAGCUUUCAGCUACCAGUAGCAUUCUGACUGCGUUUUAAAUUAUGGAAAUUAUUAAAAAAAUCAUUAGUAAUAAAAAGUAAAUAGUUUCCCAUUUAGAAUACCACUGAUAUUCCCUCAGUGCCAGGAAAGCAUGAGCAGUAUGGUUUCUUUUGCUUCUGUGAAGUGUACUUAGAGUUCAUGGGCUCAUGAGUGAGUAGAUCCAUAAGUACAAAAAGAAGGUCAUUUGUGGGUGGAGAGGGAAAUUAGAGAAAACAAUUUCAGAUGAAAUAAAAACACAUUUUCAGAUAAAGGAAAGAAUGUUCACUGCAGGUUCCUGAAAUAUUUCAGACCAUUCAAGUUUUAAUUAUACCAAUGAAUCCCAAUAGAAAUGCAGUUAAGGAGUAUGGUUUUUAGAGAUAAUAUCAACUAGCUGGUUUACCAGUAAUACAGAUAAAGGAAAUGGUAGCAUUUAUCUUUUUCACCCAACUGGGAGUCUUUAAGGCACCUGUGUGAGUGUGUGAGUGUGUGUAUGAAUUGUUAUCUUCCUUGUCCUACAAACCGCAUUUAUAGCUCAGUAAGUUCUCACUGCCUCCCAGAUGUAAUUUGGCUUUCCUGGCAAAACAAACAAACAAACAAACAAAAAACUCAGUGAAAACAUCCCAAGAAGGUAUGCUUUUUAAAAGUCAAAAUAUGAAAAGGUCUGGAAUCACUGAUCUAGGAAUGUUGUUUUUAUUAUACCAGGAUAAAAAUAAUCCAUUGCAGGAGAGUGCCAAAACAGACCCAGAUGUAGAUCUUUUGCUUUCUAGUCCAUGUUUAAAUACAUAUGGUUGAGAGAAGAAGCUUCUGGAAGGCAGGGAAGAGUUGGAAACGUUUUGGUAUGGAGAAUCCAUUUUAAGCAGAUACAUUAAAUGUGUCUCUAUUAACUUUCACAGUGGAGGAGGGAGGCACUCUUCUAUAGCCUGGAUUCAAACUUGUUUAGGUAUCUGAAUAAAUAUACUGAUAGAGUCAGAUGAUUUUAGUUUACCUUCAAGGACCUUAUAUAUUUCACACACCAAGUUUUUAAAAUCAUAGCCAGUAUUUAAAUAUAAAUAACUUAUAUUCUAUUAUGUAUUGUGUAUUAUGUAUAUAUAAUAUGCUAUAUAAUACAACACAUUGUAUGUAUAAUUUUUGUGCCACUUAAUGUAUAAACCGCUUAAGUGUGAAAAUAUUAUGUAAAAUCAACAUAUUUGUCUUAAGAUGUUUAUAAAGAUUAAAACUGAGUUACAAAUAUUUGGACAUAUCUCAAGCUAUUUUAACUAAAGCUUGAAUCUAAAUCAAUAUAAUUAUUUUGACAUCUGGCAAUAGGGCAAUAUAAAACAUACAUUUCAGAAUUAAAAGUUUAGAACCACAGAAUUUUAGUUGGGAAUGGAGUGUUGGAGACUAUCUGGCCCUGUUCCUUUGUUAGACCAGAAAACAUUGUAUAAGUAAAUUGGCACCGUGACAGAACAGAA